ACUUGGAAGCUCGAAGCAGAGCUCUCUCUCAAAAGCCCUAAGCGCCGAAAGGAAAACAGAACGAAAUCACGUUUUACUUCUGUAAUUCUAUCUGUCAAAAUCCCCAAAUUUUGAAAGGAAAACUGAUCGAAAUCGCGUUUAACUUUUGCAAUUCGAUCCUUUACAAUGCCUGGAAACGUCAAUUCUGUCCUCCACACCAGCAAUCUCUUCGCCGAUUUCAGCAGGUGGUUCGGGCUCUCAUUGCCAUCCACUUUUUCGCCGAUUGGAACGGCAGAUCAAUGUCGUCAUUUGGCGAAAGGGGUUUUUUUGAAACCCUAGCAUGGUAGGAAGCGUGGAAGCAGCGUACGCUCGAUGGAGCAGGGGUGGAAGUCGAGACUGGGAGCAACCGUAGAAGAUGGUGGCCGAAGGUCUGGAUCGAGGAUUUGAGUAAGCCACGUCAUAGGAUGACGGAUUUAAUGGCUGCCUGAGGCUCAUGGGUCACUGAUUUUUGAGGGUUGCCGGAUUUAAUGGAGGAUUGAAGACGGAAGCCAACGAAGAAGAAGGCUCUGUGAUUUUACGAUCUGCGACGGUGGUGGACUGACAAUUGGAGCAGAGCUCUGCUCUUUGUUAUUGUAGGUGCGGGUGAAGGCCCUGUUCUUGCACCAACUCAGGAAGACUUGUUGAGUUGACUCGAUGUGGUCCAUUUGCUAGCUGUGACAACACAUAAAUGAAGUCCCAUAAAGAAUGGAGAUAUGCAAUUCUCAAAAUUCUUGUUACUGAUGGAUGCAAAACUGAAUAUGUACUGCAACAGUGCCAUUGGCACUCUCCUGAACUGAAUAUGUAGUGCAACAAUGCCAUUGGCACUCUCCUCAAAGGACACCAUCAAUGGGAAGAGGUAUGGUGCUACCUAUCUCUAGAAGGAAAUAGAUAAUAUCUUCAUUUCUGGAUGUCCUGAUUUCGUAGCAUAGUUAGGACUUAUUUUUGUGUCUUGGGUGAAAAACUGCCAACAUUGAGGUCUCUCGCAAGGUUAUUUUUGGAGGCCAUUUGAGAAACAGUAUGGCUUCAGUGAAUUAUAGCUGUGGGUAUGUAACACAUGCGUACAAUGAGUUUUGGAGAAUUGCCUCUAGGCUAAACUUUUUUUUUGUUUUUUGCCCAUGUUGGAUGAGAAACAAAUGUUAUUGCCAUGGUAUGUAUGGCUGUGGGCAUAGCUGAGCUCCUUCUAUUGGGAACUCAUUCCCUUUUAUCUGUAUAUGUUGACUGUUGUGUUUGACACCUUAACAGACAAGCAAGUGGAGGCCCUUGGCUCUGUCCAGAAAUGGAUCGCAAACCUCUCAGAAAUUCCUUUAGCCUGCAGGAAAAAGGAAACCAAAACUAUCGAGAAGCGGAAUUGUACAAUACUCUGACAGAUUCAACAUCCACACAUCCACAGUGCUGAACAGGGCAUAAUUGCAGUUUGGGGGCUACUUCCUCAUACAAAUACUAAUGGAGACGGUUCACCACAAUGCUUACCACGAAGAUCCUUGUGCAAAGGAGUUUGGCAUCAAAAUCAGUGAGAAACUUGCUUUGGUUGAAGCACGCAUUUUACCUGCACCUUGGCUUAAAUACCAUGACACUAGUAGAGAAAAGGAUUGCUUGCCCCAAGUUGGUCAAUGGAAUAUGAUGAACAAGGUAUACUCCUUCAGAAGUUGAAACUCUCAUUUUAACUGUGAAUUAAAUAUGCAUGUUGGUUCUAAUCGAUGGCUCCAAAUUCUUAGGCUCCCUAUUCUUGUUGCUGCGAUUAGAAAAAAAAAAACUAUAGCCCUGUCCUAGUUUCUGUUCAUGUCUGAAAUCGAUAGAAUAAAAUCAAAUGAUACAAGAAAGAUGUUAUUCCUAUAGAUAAAAAAGAGAAACUAUUAUGAGGGAAAGGAAAUUAAAGGAUUUAGCGUUUGACCUAUUAUUAUGUUUAAUUUUUUUUAAAAAAGCAAAUCUGUUCAUGGCUUUCAGUAAGGAUGGGUUUUUCAUUCAUGAUAUUGAAAUAUGUUUUUCUAUGGCAUAUUGGGACAUGGUUAUUGUAUUGCUUCUACAAUUUCGAUCCUCACAUGAAUUCUCUGUCGAUUAUUUCAUUUCAGCCUGUGCAGAUCUAGAUUGGACUUCUUGAGGUUAAAUUUCUUAUUAGUAAUUGGUUUUCAUGUUACGUAGGAUGCCUUGAAAUGUUGUUACUGGAGCUUGAUACUGAUAACAUCUGCGACAGAUAAUUUGUCAAGGCAUUUUAGGGAACUGUUUACUGCAUUUACAUUUGCUAUUCCAUGAUAAAUCUGCAUGUAAGUUGUUGCAAAUUACCUUGUUGUUUUUUUCUUCUUCUUCUUCUUCUUUUUCUUAGGUCUGGUGUUACUGGGAUUAUUUAUUUCUAGUUUUGUGGAACUAAUCAUUAUUGUUUAAAGUCAAUGCAUAAAAUCGUGGUUAGUACAGCAUAUAAAUCUGCAUAUAACUUGCUGCAAAUUUCCUUGUUUAUUUGUUUUCUUCUUUAUUUCUUAUGUCCGGUGUUACUGGGAUUUAUUUAUUUCAAGUUUUGCGGAACUAAUCAUUCUUGUUUAUGAAAUCAAGGUUAGGUGGUUACUAACUUUGUUGUCAAAUCGAGGUUUUGUCCAUUAGGAAUUUCAACUGUCUGUAACUCAGCGAUACUGCCAUUUCAUAUUUUUCUUAGAAAGCGUUGACCUUUUACAUGG